AUUGAACGCUGGCGGCAUGCUUUACACAUGCAAGUCGAACGGUAACAGGCCGCAAGGUGCUGACGAGUGGCGAACGGGUGAGUAAUGCAUCGGAACGUGCCCAGUCGUGGGGGAUAACUACUCGAAAGAGUAGCUAAUACCGCAUACGAUCUAUGGAUGAAAGCGGGGGACCGUAAGGCCUCGCGCGAUUGGAGCGGCCGAUGUCAGAUUAGGUAGUUGGUGGGGUAAAGGCUCACCAAGCCAACGAUCUGUAGCUGGUCUGAGAGGACGACCAGCCACACUGGGACUGAGACACGGCCCAGACUCCUACGGGAGGCAGCAGUGGGGAAUUUUGGACAAUGGGCGCAAGCCUGAUCCAGCAAUGCCGCGGGCAGGAAGAAGGCCUUCGGGUUGUAAACUGCUUUUGUACGGAAAGAAACGGCUCUGGUUAAUACCCGGGGCUAAUGACGGUACCGGAAGAAUAAGCACCGGCUAACUACGUG
rnacentral:rRNA from 1 species